AUACUGCCGGAACUGUGGCUAAUGGUGCGGACCACCCUGCUCACUGUUAGCAAAGUGGGUAGCUACCCUCUCUUCUGGAAGCCCCUCUGCAGCACUCCUCUUGGGAGUAGAAAAGGAAGUGGUCAAGGUAAGGAGAUCGCUGACUGGACGUGCAGCUCCAAUCCUCCUAGCUUCCCACCUGGCAUAGGGCACUCUCUGCCUGGGUCCGUUCUUCUUCCCUCUGGGCCUGGAUGGCCUCCAUUUCUGUCUGCUGCUCCUUUAGCCUCAUUUCCAGCUCCAUUUUUUCCCUUUCUAAGCUCUCCAGAGCCUUUGCCAGCUCCUGCUGGUGCCAGGAGCGCUCCUUCUCCUGGCCACAUGAAGGAAACACCAUUAGAACCAAAUGGGUGAGGAGGGGAGGCAGGGGUACUGGAUUGGAAAAACAAAGUCUCUCUACUACUCACUAGUGGGGUGACCUUGGUACCUCUCUAAGCCUGUUGCCUCAUCUGUAAAGCAAGGCUAAUAUUCCCUGCCUUAUCUAUCUUACCAAAUUUCAUGACAACCAAAUGAGAUUCAUUUUAAAAAAUAAAAUUAUAUAAUACAUGUGGAAGUACCUUCCAAACUGCAAUUGUCCCUUAUAUAUGCUACAAGUAUCUGGGUUUUAAAAUGUAUUUCUAUUUUUAAUUUUUUUUUGGAGACGGAGUCUUGCCCUGUCACCCAGGCUGGACUGCAGUGGCACGAUCUCCGCUCACUGCAACCUCCACCUUUCAGGUUCAAGUGAUUCUCCUGUCUCAGCCUCCCUAGCAGCUGGGACUACAGGUGCCCCCCACCAUGCCCAGCUAAUUUUUGUAUUUUUAGUAGAGAUGGGGUUUCAACAUGUUGGCCAGGCUGGUCAUGAACUCCUGACCUCAAGUGAUCUGCCUGCCUCGGCCUCCCAAAGUGCUGGGAUUAUAGGCAUGAGCCACUGUGCCUAGCCUAGGCAUUCUUAUUUUUAGAGAUGGGGUCUCACUAUGUUGCCCAGGCUGGACUCGAACUCCUGGGCGCAAGUGGUCCUCCUGCCUCAGCCUCCUGAGUAGCUAAGAACACAGGGGCAUGACACCACACACAGCUCCGUAUUUGUUAUCUUUAAAGCAGCCACAUUGUGGUUGACAGUUGUAACAAUGAACUGAGGCGGCCAAUUCUGGCUGUCUGCUGCCUGCUCUCCUCUACUCAGAGUUGCAGAGUUAGCCCCUGAAGAAUCAGGCCUGGCCCAGUGAGGAUGUCUCCCUGUAUUAUAUAAGAGCAUUAGGAUAGGGGUGCUUCUUGUCUUAGCGGUCUUCCAGCAACCAAAGCUUUCCCAAGCUCUCUGACUAGUUCAGGACCCUCUAUUAGGUGUACAGGAUAGAGGUGAAGGGCUCUGGAGUUGGGCUGCCUGGGUGGAGAAUCUUUAAUCUACCACUACUAGCAUGAUCUCAAUUUCUAAACAACUCUGUGCCUCAGUUUCUUCAUCUAUUAAAAUGGGGAUAACAACAGUGUCAUUCUCCUCAGGUUGUAUUGAGGAUGGAGAUAAGUCAUGUGAAUCACUUUAAAUGUGCGUAGCACACAGAAAGCGGGCAAUACACAACAGCCAGCAUCAUCAUCACAUUAGUAUUCCCUGCACUUUUCCUUUAAAAUGCUUGUAAGUUUGUCGUUGCUUAUUCAUGUAAUGGGAACGCCUCUAGUGUUUCAGCCUUCCCAGUGUCAUCCUGUGCAGCUUUCCCCCUCAUUCACUACACCCUGGCUACACACACUUGCCUCCUUGCAGGUCCUUGAGCACACUAAGCACUUUUUUUUUUUUUUUGAGACAGAGUCUCACUCUAUCGCCCAGGCUGGAGUGCAGUGGGGUGAUCUCGGCUCACUGCAACCUCUGCCUCCCAAGUUCAAGUGAUUCUCCCGCCUCAGCCUCCCAAGUAGCUGGGAUUACAGGCGCCCGCCACCACUCCCAGCUAUUUUUUUUGUAUUUUUAGUAGAGACAUGGUUUCACCACGUUGGCCAGGCUGGUUUUGAACUCCUAACCUCAAGUGAUCUGCCCGCUUAGGCCUCCCAAAGUGCUAGGAUUACAGGUGUGAGCCACUGCACCCAGCCAACAUGUUCAUGCCUUAGAGCCUUUACUCAUGCUUCCUUCUACCUGGAAAGCCCUUCUCCCCCCUACUCCAUCAUUCCUCACGCCUAAACUAACACUUCCUUGGUGAAGCCUUCCCAGACCAUACAAUUGACAGUGGUCUGGCUGGACGUGGUAGUUCACAUAUAUUAUCCCAACAUUUUGCGAGGCCGAGGUAGGAUGAUCACUUGAGCCCAAGAGUUUGAGACCAGCCUAGGCAACAUGGUGAAACCCCUUAUCUACAAAAAAUGCAAAAAUUAGUCAGGUGUGGUGGUUCACUCCUGUGGUCCCAGCUACUUGGGAGGCUGAGGUAGGAGGAUCACUUGAGCCCAGGAGGGCCUUGAGGGUGAGGCUGCCGUUAAGCCCUGAUCACGCCACUGCACUCCAGCCUGGGCAACAGAGCAAGACCCUGUCUCAAAAGAAAUAAUAAUAAUAAAAAGAAAAAAAAGAGGUCUUCCUUUGUUCUUCCUUAUAAAACCCGGCAAUGUGUAAUGUCAGUUACAGGACAGUCAUGAAUGACAAAUCAUUUUACCCUCUGGUUCAAAAAGCCAAAGACAGCGGGUAUAGCUCAGUGGCAGAGUAUGUGACUGCAAAAAGCCAAAGCCAACUGUAAAAAUAUGAAAAAGAUGAAUGUUAAUAGCAGUUGCAAGUGUUAAAAAAACUGAUCUAUUUGCUCUAUGUGAGUUAGAAGUGUGUUAUAGCUACAAGAAGAGCUAAUUCUGUGAUGUGUAGGAAGUAACAGUCCAGCAUUGCUGGUAUGACCAUGAACAGAAUAUUCUGCCCAGUUCAAAGUGCCACCUUUACACCACUGGGACAUGAGUAAAUUGUAACAUGCCUAGAAGAAAGCAACCAUGUUGGUGGGGUAUUUCAAGCAAAUCUAAGGCUCAUUUGUUCCUGGUAAUAGGUUUUGGUUCAACAUGAAUUUCCUAAUAACUAGAUCUAUCUAAAAUAAAUGGGCAGCCAAGUGAUGGAAUACAAUAGCAGCUAAGCAACCAUUUGGAAGGGACAUUACAGAGGUGGAUAAAAAAGAAAUGGUUAGGAGUUUGGGCCCUGAAUCCCUUUUCUACCCCUUAUUAGCCAUGUAACCCUGACUUCUCUUUUUAUAUUUUAUUUAUUUAGAGAUGGGGAUCUUGCUAUGUUGCCCAGGCUGGUCUCGAACUCCUGGCCUCUAGCGAUCCUUUCGCCUUGGCCUCCCAAAUUGUUGGAAUUACAGGUGUGAGCCACCACGCCCAGCCCUGAGUGACUUCUCCAUGCAUUUAUUCACCUUUAUUGUGUGAAUAAAGCAUUCAGCAUGGUGCUUGGCAUGGGGAGGUGCUUAACAAGUGUCCAAUAUCAUUACUCUUAAAGGGGAGACAGACAGUAGAUGGAAGAAUAAAGAAUACAACUGCCAAGAGUGUUUCUUUUUCUUUUUUUUCUUUGAGACAGAGUCUCACUCUGUUGCCCAGGCUGGAGUGCAGUGGUGCGAUCUUGGCUCACUGCAACCUCCACCUCCCUGGUUCAAGCAAUUCCCCUGCCUCAACCUCCCAAGUAGCUGGGAUUACAGGUGCAUGCCACCACGCCUGGCUAAUUUUUUUGUAUUUUUAGUAGAGACGGGGUGUCACCAGGUUGGCCAGACUGGUCUCAAACUCCUGACCUUGGGCAAUCCGCCCACCUCGGCCUCCCAAAGUGCUGGGAUUACAGGUGUGAGCCACCACGCGCGGCCUCCCAAGAGUGCUUCUAAUUGCCAGGAUUCCAGGAGAAGGCAGUCACUGCUAAAACGAACAGGCUGUCGAGAGUUUUAAGAGGGCAGUUGACCUGCUCAAUCAUAGAGAAAUAAUAAAGUGGGACAAUCAGAAGUCAGGAGGAUUAGCUGAAUGACAGAAAAGGAAAAGAGAGAAAAGGCCCUUUCAUGACCCAGAUAUGGCCACUAUAGUCAAUCCUUUUAGGGAAACCAAGGCCACGUAGGUAGCUGGCUUAUCAUUCAGAAGUUUUAUAGCAUCUUUUAUUUAUGGAGUUUUCAGUACAUGGUAUACAUCUGAUUCCUGCUAGAAUCAGUGUUCAUUCAACAAAUACUUUUAAGCACCGACUAUAGACUAGGCACAGAAUUCCAAAAAUAAGCAAACUUCUGGUUAUCAUCUUGCCAAUAAGCCUGCCUCAUAAUAACAAUCAAAUUACAAAUACACAUAAAGCACAAGUCAACUUCCAUUUCCAGAUACUUGAUAAACAAGAUCUCUGAACCCUCCAGCUACGAAAUCGCAAAAAAUGCUGGAUAAAAUAUUAAAUAUGUAUUUUAAUGUAUCACAGAACCAGCAGGAAAAUAAUAAAAAUUCCACAGAAGCCAAAAGCAAAGCAAGACUUGUGGUGUAGGCCAGGUGUGGUAGUUCAUACCUAUAAUCCCAGCAGUUUGGGAGGCUGUGGCAGGAGGAUUGCUUGAAGCUAGGAGUUCAAGACCAGCCUAGGCAACAAAGUGAGAUCACAUCUCUACCAAAAAAAAAAAAAAUUAGCCAGGCAUGAUGGUGCAUGCCUGUAGUCCUAGCUAGUCUGGAGGCUGAGGCAGAAGGAUUGCUUAAGCCCAGGAGCUUGAAGCUUCAGUGAGCUAGAGUUGUACAGUGCAGUUGUACAACUGCACUCCAGCCUGGGCAAUAGCAAGACCUUGUCUUGAGGUCAGGAGUUCGAGACCAGCCUGGCUGAUGUGGUGAAACCCAGUGUCUACUAAAAAUGCAAAAAUUAGCCAGGUGUGGUAGCAUGCGCCUGUAAUCCCAGCUACUUGGGAGGCUGAAGCACGAGAAUUGCUUGAACCCAGGAGGCGGAGCUGAAACAGCACCACUGCCUGUGCAACAGAGCAAGACUGUGUCUCAAAAAAAAAAAAAAAAAAGUAAAUCCACUAUCUUUCACCCAAUGCAAAUGUAAUUCAGAAUUUAAAAUAAAAAUAAAAAUAAGCCAGGUGGCUGGGCGUGGUGGCUCACGCCUGUAAUCCCCAGCACUUUGGGAGGCCAAGGUGGGCAGAUUACCUGAGCCCAGGAGUUCAAGACCAGCCUGGGUAACAUGACGAAACCCCAUCUCUAUAAAAAAAAAAAAAAAAAAAACUUAGCCAGGCAUGGUGGUUCAUGCCUGUGGUCCCAGCUACUCAGGAGGCUGGAGAGGAUCACUUGAGCCCGUGAGGUAGAGGCUGCAGUGAGCCAUGAUUGUACCAUUGCACUGUAGCCUGAGUGACAGAGCAAGACCCUGUCUCAAAAAAAAAAAAAAAAAAAAAAAAAAAAAAAGCCAGGCAGACGCUGUAGUCCUAGCUACUUAGGAGGCUGAGGCAGGAAGAUCACUUGAGCCUGGGAGUUUGAGGCUGCAGUGAGCUAUGAUUGUGCCACUAUACUCUAGCCUGGGUGACCAGAGCAAGACCUUAUCUCUAAACAAAACAAGCAAACAAACAAAAAUCUGGACUGGGGUUAACAAAUUAUAGUAUGUGGACCAAAUCUGGCUCACCACCUGUUGCUCUCUGGCUAUGAGCUAAGAGUGGUUUUUACUUUUUUUUUUUUUUUUUGAGACAGAGUCUCACUCUGUCGCCCAGGCUGGAGUGCAAUGGUGCGAUCUUGGCUCACUGCAACCUCCACCUCUCAGGUUCAAGCGAUUCUCCUGUUCAGCCUCCCAAGUAGCUGGGACUACAGGCAUGUGCCACCACACCCGGCUAAUAUUUUUGUAUUCUUAGUAGAGAUGGAGUUUCACCAUGUUGGCCAGACUGGUCUUGAACUCCUGACUUCAGGUGAUCCGGCCACCUAGGCCUCCCAAAGUGCUGGGAUUACAGGCGUAAGCCACUGCGCCCAGCCUUUACCUUUUUUUUUUUUUUUUUUUUAAAGAGAUAGGGUCUUGCUAUGUUGCCCAGGUUGGUCUCAACCAAUCGUCCUGCCUCAGCCUCCCAAAGUGGUGGGAUUAUAGGCAUGAGCCACUGCACCCAGCCUUUACAUUUUUAAUGGUAGAAAACAAUAAUGUUUUGUGACAUGCGAAAAUUAUAUGAAAUUCUCAUUUCAGUAUCUAUACAUAAAGUUUUAUCUGAGCACAGUCAUGCUCAUUUGUUUAUAUAUGGCUGCUUUGCACUACAAUUGCAAAGUUAGAUAAUUGUAACAGAGACCAUAUGGUCUGCAAAGCCUAGCAUAUAGUCCUUAACAAAAAGCCAGACAUGGUGGACUGUGCCUGUGGUCCCAGCUACUCAGGAGGCUGAGACAGGAGGAUCCCUUGAGCCCAGGAGUUCAAGAUCAGACUGAGCAACAUAGUGAUAGUCCAUCUCUAGAAAGAAAAAAAAAAAUGCCUAUCUCUGGGCUGUAGUGACCUCAGCUUAAGGGGGAAAAGGCAAAAAGAAGGAGGACAUGGGGAGGAAGGGAGAAAAAGAGAAACUGGAGGGAUGUGGAGAGGGGACAAAACAAAAUAAACUCUAUAGAAGGAAAUUAUCAAGGAAAUAUGCUUAUCUCAACUUUGAUACAGGGUAGGAAAAAAGUCUCCUCUGAAAAUUCAUAACCACAAGCUGAGCUGCACAUGGGGUCUGGGCCUGACUGUGGGUCAAAAAACUUUAAACAGAAAAUUUACUUUAAGGUGGUCCUGGGAUGCUAGUCCUCCAGCUUCCUGACAGAAGCACAAAUCCUCUGAGGAAAAACUCCUUUGCCUCAGGCCUAAAAAGAUUCCCACAGAAAACCUUCCUCAGAACAAAGGUCUCUGGGGGAAAAAAGAAAAAAAGAAAAAAGAAAAAAAAAGGAAAAUUUCCAAAGACAUGCUCAUAGACAAGAAUCACAAAAACACAGGGAAACAAGCCCAUGAGUAAGAGCCAACAGAAACAACAAAUUACAGAACUAGACCCCAAAACGUUAAUUAAAAGUUAUUGGAAUUACUAGACAGGACACAAGUAUGUUUCAUAUGUUUAAAAGAAUGGACUGAAAAUACAAAUUAGGGAAAACAGACUGAAAAAAAUGACCAAGAAGAUAUGAAAAAAUAACCAAAUAAAAUAUCUAGAAAUAAAAAAUUUAAAAAGUGAAAUUUAAAACUUGGUGAAUAGAAUAAACAUCAGAUUCGACACAGCUGAAAAGGAAAAUCAGUAACUAGAUGAGAGAUCUGAAAAAAAUAAUCCAGAACACAGCAUACAAAGAGAAAAGUAAACAUGUAAAAUGCAAGAGGCAGUGAAGAUACAUGAAGGAUAGAGUAAAAAGGUCUGACAUACAACUAACCAGAGUACAGAAAGAGAGAAGAAAGUAGGAAAAGAGCCAGGUAUGGUGGCGUGCACCUGUAGUCCCAGCUUAUGUGGGAGGCUGAGGCAAGAGGACAGCUUGAGCCCAGGAGUUCGAGACCAGCCUGGAUAACAUAGCAAGACCCAUCUCUAAAAAAAAAAAAAAUUAAAAUUAAAAUUAAAAAAUUAGCUGGGCAUGGUGGCAUGUGCCUGUAGUUGCAGUUCGUCGGAGGCUGCGGCAGGAGGACUCACUUGAGCUCAGGAGUUUGAGGCUGCAGUGAGCUAUGAUUGUAUCAUUAUACUCCAGCCUGGGUAACAGAGCAAGACCCUGUCUCUAAAAAAUAAAAUAAAAUAAAUUUAAAAAAAAAAAUUUUUUUUUUUUUUUGAGACGGAGUUUCGUUCUUGUUGCCCAGGCUGGAGUGUAAUGGCGCGAUCUCAGCUCAUCGCAACCUCCACCUCCCAGGUUCAAGCGAUUCUCCUGCCUCAGCCUCCCUAAUAGCUAGGAUUACAGACAUGUGCUACCACACUCGGCUAAUUUUGUAUAUUUAGUAGAGACGGGGUUUCUCCAUGUUGGUCAGGCUGGUCUCGAACUCCUGACCUCAGGUGAUCCGCCCACCUCAGCCUCCCAAAUUACUGAGAUUACAGGCAUGAGCCACUGCAAUUGGCCAAAAAAAAAUUUAUUUUAAAGAGUAAAUAAAUAAAAGCAGGACAGUAGGAAAGAGGUAAUAUUGAAGAGAUAAUAUAUAAGAAUUUUCCAGAAUUGAUAUUUCAACAUGAAAUCUUAAAUUCAGGAUGUCUAAGAAAUUCCAACCAAAUAAAAGAAAUACACAUCUAAACACAAGAAAUUGCCAGGCGUGGUCUCACGCCUUUAAUCCCAGCCCUUUGGGAGGCCGAGGUGGGUGGAUCACUUGAGCCCAGGAGUUUGAGACCAGCCUGGGCAACAUGGUGAAACCCCAUCUCUACUAAAAAUACAAAAAAAUUAGCUGGGCAUGGUGGUACGUGCCUGUAAUCCCAGCUACUCUAGAGGCUGAGGCAGAAGAACUGCAUGAACUCAAGAGGUGGAAGUUACAGUGAGCCGAGAUUGCACCACUGCACUCAAGCCUGGGUGACAGAGCAAGACUCUGUCUCAAAAAAAUAAAAAAUAAAAAAAAAUAUAAAAAAAUAAAUAGCCGGGCACGGUGGCUCACGCCUGUAAUCCCAGCACUUUGGGAGGCCGAGGCGGGUGGAUCAUGAGGUCAGGAGAUCGAGACCAUCCUGGCUAACACGGUGAAUACAAAAAAUUUUUGUAUUUACUAAAAAUACAAAAAAUUAGCCGGGCAUGGUGGUGAGCGCCUGUGGUCUCAGCUACUUGGGAGGCUGAGGCAGGAGAAUGGCGUGAACCCAGAGGCGGACCUUGCAGUGAGCCAAGAUUGCGCCACUGCACUCCAGCCUGGGCAACAGAGCGAGACUCCGUCUCAAAAAACAAACAAACAAAAAAAUAAUAAUAAACACAAGAAACUGUGGAAUGAUUAAAAUGAAAGCUAACUUCUCAAUACCAACAAUGUUGAGAGAAAAUAAUUGUCAUCCUAGAAACUUAUAUCUGAAUGUUUUACUUAGUGAAUCUAUCUAUCUAUCUAUCUAUCUAUCUAUCUAUCUAUCUAUCUAUCUAUCUAUCUAUUUUUUAAGCCUGAACAAAGCCAGAAACUAUCUUUCAAGAAUAAAAGUAGGCUGGACAUGGUGGCUCACCUCUGUAAUCCCAACACUUUGGGAGGCCAAGGGCGGGUGGAUCGCUUGAGCCCAGGAGUUUGAGACCAGCCUGGGCAACAUGGUGAAACCCUGUCUCUACCAAAAAUAAAAUUAGCUGGGUGUGAUGGCAUAUGCCUAUAAUCCCAGCUACUUGGGAGGCUGAGGUGGGAGGAUCACCUGAGCCCAGGAGGCCAAGGCUGCAGUAGGCCAUGAUCACAUGACUGCACUCCAGUCUAGGCGACAGAGUGAGACCCUGCCUCAAUAAAAGAAUAAAAAUAAAAUAGAAACAUCUUCAGACAAUUAACUACCAACAGACCCUUACCAAAGAAAAUCCUACUUCAGGCAAAAAAAAAAAAAAAAAAUCUGAAUAGAAAGUCUGACAUGCAAGAAGGUAUGGUGAACAGAAAAGGUAUCAAUUCGUUGUAUCUGAACAAAUAUUGACUGUAUAAAACAAUAAAAAAAUCAUAAUUUGUGGUGUUAAACUAGUUAGAACUGAACACACUGAACAAAAUAGCCUAUAAAUUAGGGAGCAGUGAAACAAGUAAAAUGUUCUUUUUUGCUUUUGAGACAGGGUCUCACUCUGUCACUCAGGCUGGAGUGCAGUGGUGCUCAGCUCACCACAGCCUCAACCUCCUAGGCUCAAGUGAUCCUCCCACCUCAGCCUCCCAAGUAGCUGGGACUACAGUGUGUACCACCAUGCCUGGCUAAUUUUUGUAUUUUUUUUUGUAGGGAAUGGGGUUUCGCCGUGUUGUCCAGGCUGGUCUCAAACUCCUGGGCUCAAGCAAUCUGCCCACCUCAGCCUCCCAAAGUGCUGAGAUGACAGGCAUGAGCCACUGUCCCUGGCCCAGGUAAAAUGUUCUAAGACCCUUGUAUCGUUCAGGAAAAGGGUAAAACUACUGAACCUUGAGAUUUUAUUAAGUAUAUGUUUAAAAAUAUUAAAGGUAACCACUAACAGGAUUUUUAAAAUAAAGUAUAUAUCAUCCACAGUUGCAGAGAGAAAAAAGAGGUGAGAAAAGAAUACAACUUAAUCACCCAACUUAAUCCUCUAAAAGAAGUUAAGAAAGGAGAUUUCCCCUCCCUAAAAGAUAUAAAAAUGGCCAGGCACAGUGGCUCACAGCUGUACCCUGCACUUUAGGAGGCUGAGGCAGGUGGAUCACGAGGUCAGUUUGAGACCAGCCUGGCCAACAUGGUGAAACCCCAUCUCUACUAAAAAUACAAAAAUUAGCCAGAUGUGGUGGCACACACCUGUAAUCCCAGCUACUUAGGAGACUGAGGCAGGAGAAUCGCUUGAACCCAGGAGGCGGAGGUUGCAGUGAGCCAAGAAUGCACCACUGUACUCCAGCCUGAGGGACAGAGUGAGACUGUCUCAAGGAAAAAAAAAAAAAAAAAAGAUAUAAAAAAGCAAGACAAAUAACAUAAGAUGGCACAAAUAAAUCCAAAUACACCUAAAACCACAAUAAAACCAAAUGGACUAAAUUACAUUAUUAAAAGACAAAACACAGUUCUGAACUGCACAAGAAUGCAUCCAAGAUAUUCCUCUCCCCCGUUUUCAUCCUGAGGCCAGUUUAAUAAUCCUAAAUCCCAGGGUCCACUCUCAAUUCUCUGUACACACCAACACAACAACAAUAAUAAUGGCUAACACAUAUAGGGAGCCCACCACAUGCUAGGAACUACUCUUAGUGCUUUUCAUAUAUUAACUCAUUUAAUAGCAGGAAGUUGGAUUUUACAGCUUGGUUACAAAAUUUCACUCAUACGAGCAGCAAUAACUGGACCAAGAGGCAGCAGGUAGAGCACUCAUGGAAGGGAGGCCAUACCCGGCCACAUUGACCACUUACCCAUUUCUCCCGGAGCUGGUUCACCUCUUUCUCAUGGGCUGCCUUCUGCUGCUCCAAGGCAGUCUUCCCUUCUUGCUCAGCCUGGGCCAGCUGUCUGGCUGCAGCAUCCCGCUCCUGCUCUGCCUGACUCCGUUCAGUGUCCAGUUCCAGCUUCAGGCACCUCACUUCCCCUAACAUGCCAGGGACAGGAUCAGGCCUCCGCCCCCUCCUUUUACCUAAUAAAAUUCUCCCUCUCCCCUGACCUCAUGAGCAACUCCCAUCUCAGAGGCCCUGCACCCUGCUGGAGAAGGACCUCUAAUAGUCUCCCACCAUCUUCCUGCCUUUCAACAUCUCCAUGGAAUGGAGUGCAUCCCAUCCCAGUUGGGUUCUCACCUUGGAUUACUUCCUUGGCUUGAGUGACAGUUUGAAUCUGGACCUCCAGCUGCCCCUUGGUGACCUCUAUCACAGAAUUUUGUUGUUGGGCUUCAAACAGACUGCUCUCCAGUAGCUCCUUGGCUGAGCUGUGAGGUUCAGGAAUCAGAAGAGUUUCUUACCCAUCAAGCCCCUUACCCUUCCUCAAGAGGAGCUGGGUUCUAAGUAUUGGCUACCUGGAGAAGUUAGGGGGGCAAUUAUAAAUUCAUAAUCAAUUUAGGACCUGCAUACUUAUGGCAGGGAGCUUAGCUUCACGCCUUUGCCUUGCAAAGCUCUCUCUGUGCUUGGCUGAACUGAGUCUGGGCCCUACCUGAGCCCCUGUAGUUGUUCAGCGAGGUCCUGCCGGUCACGCUCCACGGCCUGCAGCCGCACCUCUAGAGCCGCUUUCUCUCGUACUAGGGCCUCCUUCUCCUGGACUGCCCUGGCAAGCACUUCUUCCUGUCGCUUUGCCUCCUGAUGUAGCUGCUCCAGCUGAGUCGUGGCUGCCUCCUGCUGGUGACGUGACUGAGGGGAAGAAUGUGGUGAGAGAUGGAGCAGAGGCUGGAUUCCCCUGGGGCCGCUACCACCAGGUUAGGGUCAUUGCCUCUUCAGAGAUUCUGGACCCAGCUCUGUGAGCCCGGAUUGCUUACCCAAUAGCACGUGGCAUUUAUCUAUUUCCCUGAUCCGCCCACAGAGCCCCCAGCCCAGGAAGAAUGCUCCCCUGUGAGCAAGACCCUGUGCUAGGGACAGCAGAAGACCUGCCCCUAAGGAGGUUUUGGCCUUGAGAAGAUGCACACAUAAUACUGGGAAGAAAGUCAUCAAUGUCCCGAGAAAGGGACUCUGUGAAGGGAGAGUCCGUACAAUUAUUAGGACAAUGAGAGGUUUUGUAGAGGAGAAAGAUGACCUUUGAGCCAGGUCAUUCAUUGGCUCAGGAAAAAAAUUUACUUGGCCCCUGUUAUGUGGUAGGCACUAUGCUAAAAGCUGGAGAAAUAAAAACAAAUAAGAUAUAGCUUUGCCUUCAAGGAGCUUUUGGUCUAAUGGUAGAGACAUAUAAACAGAUAAUUAUAGCAUGAGGAAUGUGGUAGUUAAAAUAAGCAUGAGGUGCUAUCAGAGUAUAAGGAGAAGCUUCUAAUUCAAACUGGGUGGUGUGAAUGAAGUAGUGGAGAAUCAGUGAAGAAUUCUUUUUGUUUUUUUGAGCAGUGUCGCUCUGUCAUCCAGGUUGGAGUGCAGUGGCGCAAUCUCGGCUCACUGCAACCUCCGCCUCCCAGAUUCAAGAGAUUCUCCUGCCUCAGCCUCCCGAGUAGUUGGGAUUACAGGCAUGUGCCACCAUGCCGGGCUAAUUUUUGUAUUUUUAGUAGAGACAGGGUUUCACUAUGUUGGUCAGGCUGGUCUCGAACCUCUGACCUCGUGAUCCGCCCGCCUCGGCCUCCUAAAGUGCUGGGAUUACAGGCAUGAGCCACUGCGCCCAGCCUCAGUGAAGAAUUGUUAUAGGCAUUCUUUUUUAAAAUUGGAAGAUAUACUGCAAACUAGUAACACUGGUCAUUUCUAGGAAGUAAGACUUUUUCACUUUCCAGAUAAUUUCUGUAGUGUUUUAAUUUUUUAUAAUGAGCAUAUAUUACACCUAGACAUGAUGGUGUCCAUUUUGGCUUCUCACCUCACUUAGUUUCUUUUGAAUUUCUUCCUUCUCUUCUUGGAUGUCCCUGAGAUCUGCCUGCAGCUCAGCCCCAGCCUCCUCAGCUUUCUGCAGCUGAGCCUCCAGGUGAGUGUUCUUUUCCCACAGGGCUUCCCUCCUCUUCUCUGCCUCCGCCAGGUCGACCUGCAAAGCAUUUCUCGCCUGCUCUGCGGCCUCCAUUCUGCUGCACACAGACUGGUUCUCCUCCUCUAACUACUGGCCAAAAAGGGAAGGGAGUACAAGCAUCAAAGACAAAUGGUUAGUUUAGGAAUCAAAUGCUAAGACUGAAAUCCAAGUGAGAUAUGAAUCUAUUCUCCAAAGAUGAACAAAGGAGUGUUUAUAAGAUGGGGGAAAAUCCAUUCAUUUGAUCUAGUGCCUAUAUUCCAGGUACUAGAUGGGCUGGAUGCUGGGGACGGAGAUAUGCAAGGCAAAGUCCUGCUCUCAAAUAAUUCAGAAUAAUGGAAUAGAGAACACUCAAGGAAACAGAGAUUGCAAGGAGGUUCCCUCGCUAUAAUUAUAGGUUAAAUUUAUAACCUAUAGAAAAGAUUCUUUGGGACUUAGGCUCUUCAGCAGAUUCUUUUCUGGUGAUUGCUAUUAUCUCACCCAACAGGAUUAACAACCUAGACUUAGGCCGGGUAUGGUGGCUCAUGCCUGUAAUCCCAGGACUUCAGGAGGCUGAGGUGGAUGGAUCACCUGAGGCCAGGAGUUCAAGAUCAGCCUGGCCAACAUGGUGAAACCCCAUCUCUACUAAAAAUACAAAAACUAGCCCAGGGCAGCCAAGUGUGGUGGCUCACGCCUGUAAUCCUAGCACUUUGGGAGGCUGAGGCAGGUGGAUCACCUGAGGUCAGGAGUUUGAGAACAGCCUGACCAACAUUGUAAAACCCUGUCUCUAUUAAAAAUACAAAAUUAGCCAGGCAUGGUGGUGCAUGCCUGUAAUCCCAGAUAUUCAGGAGGCUGAGGCAAGAGAAUUGCUUGAACCCGGGAUGCAGAGGUUGCAGCGAGCCAAGAUCGUGCCACUGUACUCCAGCCUGGGCAACAAGAGCAAAACUCCAUCUCAAAAAAAAAAAAUUAGCCAGGUGUGGUGACACAUGCCUGUAAUCCCAGCUACUCAGGAGGCUGAGGCAGGAGAAUUGCUUGAACCCAGGAGAUGAAAACUGCAGUUAGCUAAGAUCGCACCACUGCACUCCAGCCUAGGUGACAGAGGGAGAUCCAUCUCAAGAAAACCCCAGCAAAAAACCUAGUCUUCCUUCCAGAGGACAUGGGCCCCUUCCCAACCUUGGUGUCUUACCCUGAAGUCCAGAGGUGGUUCUGCUGGAGGUGUGGGAGGGGAAUAUUUAUAAUGGCUAAGCCCAAUCCUUACAGUCUUUGCUCUCCUCUGCAUUGUAAAUGUUCCUUUUGCUCAUUUCAGACCUACAUUUGGGAGCUGAUCCGUCUUGCUCUCAGUUAGGGCCCAGCCCUUCUGUGGGGACCAGGAAAAUCUUUGCUCACCUGGAGAAGCUGCUGGUUCAGCCCAACUUUAUCUAACGCCAAAGCCUCAUUUAAGGCACUGAGCUUGACAGCUGCAGCCCGAAGAUCAGCUACUUCUGUCUUCAGGGUGUUUUCAGAACUCGACAGCUCUGCAAUUGACUGCUCUGCCUAAAAAACAAAAAGGAUUAAAGAGUUUCAUAUUUCCAAUUUUCCUGGAACAGUAAACAGUUCACAUUCCCAACACUGCUGCUUUUUGGUACAGAGAUCAGUUAAUACUCCAUUCCCUCUCCUGCAUUCUAAACAAGUUUUCCCUUCAUUCAUUCAUUAAGGAGUGAGACAGGACCUCACAGUAUAGAGAUACCAAAGUUAGGAUAGAGAAAUGACUAUGAUUGUAAUGAUGCCACAGAAAAUGUAAGCACAAAGUGCUCUGGGAACUAAAAAAAAUAUUAAUAUAGUUUGGAAGAGUCAAAUAUGCUUGGUAGAGGAGUUGACGAUUAAGUUGUGUACUGAGAGAUGAGGAACAGUUUGCACAUAAAGGAAGAGGAAAGAAGUAGUGCAGAGAAAGGGAAAAGUACACGCAGAGUAUUAGAGUCAUGAAGAACAUGGAAUAACUGAGAAGGCAAUUACUGCUGUGGCAGGAGCAAAGGAUAUGAGGUGUUAGGAUGGGUUUUGCAGUAGAAGGGGAGGCUAAAACACACUUUGAGGCACAUGACAAAAAGCUUUGAAUGUGGCACCACAGAGCUAGAAAGCCGUUGAAUGGUUUUAAGAGACUGACAUAACCAGGUAUAUACUUUAGAAAGCCCAUUCUAAUUCCAAUAUAGAGGGUAUGUUGGAAUAGAGAACCCAGAAGCAGACUAAUGAUUGAGGAAAGAUGAGGGAUCCUGGCUUGAAGGUGAAGAAUGAGGCAGGCUGCAUGGGAACACACUUUCGAAGCCGCCCACCCAGCAAGUGAGGAGAGGAGGCCACGCACCCUAGCCAGCGCUGCGGUCACUUCCGUUUGCUCUUGCCUCAGUAACUCCCCUUCCAGGUGACUUGACUCCAGGGCUUCCCGAAGAGUGAUCAGUUCACUGAGUGAUUCUGACUGUUUGGCUUCCAGGCCCAUCAGCAUCUCCUGACUAAGAUGGGAAAGAGAGGGGUCUAGAGGAACUCUUAGGGAUGGGCCAUAACCCCAAAGGUAACAGGAAUAUAAUCACCUUUGCUAUGCAACAGAAUGAGGAUGGUCUAUAAACACUGAUAAGGAAAGAUUUCUAAGACAUGUCAAGUGAAAAAAAUCAAGGUGCAGAACAGUAUAUACAUGAUACACUACCUUUUAUGCAAGAAAGUGGGGGAAGAAAGAAUAUAUGCCCGUAUUUGCAUGAAGGAGCACUGGCAAGAUAAACAAGAAGUCAGCUAAAAUGGUUGCCUAAAGGGGGAAGGGAAAUGGGAUGGAGAAAGCACAAAUGAGAGUGAGACUUCUCUGUGUAUCUUCUUAGCUCACUGAAGCCUCAAACUCCUGGGGGCUCAUGUGAUCCUCCCAUCUCACCUUGCCAUGGCUACAGGCACAUG
rnacentral:lncRNA from 1 species